GGUCGCGUAGCUCAAUGGUAGAGCAGCUCCCUCUUAAGGAGUCGGUUGGAGGUUCGAGUCCUCCCGCGAUCACCA
rnacentral:tRNA from 5 species